rfam:Myotis lucifugus cont2.20850, whole genome shotgun sequence.
GAGACACCCUUAUGGGGCAGGACUUGCUUCAGUGGGGCUUUGGUGCUCACUGAGUCUGCCCCCUGACUGUGUCUCU